rnacentral:misc_RNA from 1 species
AAUCAUAUUAUGAAUAAAACAGUUUGAAGUUCUGUUGGUUAUUCACAUGAAUUUUUUAUUGUCACGAGUUUGUUAACGGUUGAUAGACUAUAGCUAGGAAUAUGGUCAAUAUGAAAUAUCUAAUCAAAAUUAUAUAUAUUACAGGUAAAUGGAAAAGAAGUGGUGUGCUUCUAGGAUAGGAUUAAAUCGGACGUAAUGAUAUAUAACAAUAACCAGUUUCAGUUUUAUUUAUCAACUUGGCCCAUAUGGGCAUUAGCAGUGAAUAUCAAUGCAACAAAUUACGUAAACAGUCGAGCAUGAACAAGAAAAAGAUAAAGAUGUUUCAGUCUUCGCUUCACUCGAGAGUUGUCGCCCUUGGAGCUCUUCAUAUGGGAUUUAGUAUGCUGAGUGCAGCGUUUGGUUUCUAUUACGUGAAAGUGUUCCUAAAUUUCUAUCAUAUAGAGGAAAGUUGGUUUCAAGUGUCUCAGUCAAUUCUCCUUGUAUGGAAUACUGUCAACGACCCAUUGAUUGCCUACUUUCAGGACAGCACGAAUUUUGCGUGUACAAGAACUCGGCGUGAAAGUGUUCUUUAUGCAGCACCAUUUUUUGCUUUGUCAUUUCUGGUUCCAUGGUUUCCAUGGGGAAAACCUGAUUUUCUUCAACCAUGGGUUACUGGCGUUCAUCUAAUUACAACAUUAUGUUUUUUCGAUACCAUGUUCACAUACGUCGGACUGGCAUCAUCAUGUUUGUUCACUGAAAUAUCGGCAGACAAUGACGAACGCUUGACAAUGAUACGGUACAAUCAGAUAGGUAAUCUUCUAGGAUGUUCCAGUGUUUUUAUGUUAGAGUAUAUAUCGAAUCAACUAGAAAACUUCAAAGCAUUUCAAACUACAUGCAUAAUUCUGGCAGUUAUUAGUACCUUGUUACUUCGAUAUUGUGGCAAGCAUGCACAUACUGAACUGGAACUUCGGCACGAGAAUGACAUGCAAAAUGGAAAACCAAGAGUCUUAAAGUCGCAAGAAUAUUCAUAUUUGACUCUUACUAAGCAAAUUUUUUUCACAAAAGAUUUUUUAGCGUUUGCAGUUAUGAACUUUUUAGCAGGAUUUCAUAGAGUGUUUCUCUCAAAUUUCUUUACUAUAUUUGGAGAUCAGUUAAUUUCUAAAGAUGUUGUGCCACCGGUAGUGAGAAGCUUGUUUUAUGGAGCAAGUUCUACUGCAUCAAAGCUGAUUGUGAUAUUUGGUGCAGGAGUUGUUGGCAGAUUUGGCUACUACAAGGUGAUACGUUACAGUCAAAUCUUCAUGAUUGCAUAUGGAUUGAUAUACUAUAUGACUGGACCAAUCAAUCACUGGUGUCUCAUGUUCUUUAUGCUGUUAGACAGUGGAACGUCGAACAGUGUACACACGUUGUAUGGUCUGGCUAUAUCGGACAUUGCGGACCAGGAUCGUACACGGUAUAGGAGAAGGCAUCCUGUGACAUCUAUGGUAUAUGGAUGUAAUUCACUAGCUGUGAAACCCGCCAUCUCUCUUGCACCAAUGUUUGUUGUAAAAGUUCUUAACAUGUACGGCUAUAAAAAACACAAGAGUCAUAAGCUGGAUCCAAUAGAUGUAGCGACUUUAAACAAGACCAUGUUUAGUUUUGUUUGCUUAGUGCCACUGAUAAUUGGAUGUAUUCAAUAUUUUGCCUGGUCAUUUUACUCAAUUAGGGAUAGAAGGAAUUUAGAUAUCACAUUAAUUGUUCCGAAGGAUGAUGAACUAAUUAGUAACAGUAUUUAAAUUUGAUUACAUCUUCUCAUAAACCACAAAGAACAAUAAUAGUAUACAAUGGUUUUAUGCAAUAUUUUCCUGAAAAUGGUGUUCCUCAGUUUGAAGGGGCAAUAAAGUAUUUCACAACCCGUGCCGUUCAAGGUUAUAAAAUCAAGUUUGGAGACCAGUCUGAGACGGAUAUUGAAAUUCAGUUUGAAAAAUGUAGACCCAAAAGUUAGGGAAAUUCGGAGUUCCUCAUUUGUAGCGAUGGAAGUGAUCAAGUAUGAAAAUCUGAGACCAGUGUGAAAAUGUGUGGUGCCUAUAUGGGAAGUUUUGAGAAGUUCUUCCGAGUGUACUGAAACAUUCCUGUACAAAUGCUGUCCAGAGUGAAAAUCAUAAUUACUAUCUAAGGAAACAUAUAUUAUUUCACAGGUGCAAGUCAAAAGUUUUUAACAUACGAAAAUAUUGCAAAAGUCAUUGUCAAGUCUAAUGCAAAACACAUGAGGAAACGUUUAACAUGGUAUAUUUUGAUCAAAUGAGAACAAAACAAACUAAAAGAACAAGCUCACCUUAAUACUAUGUUAGUGGCCUUUUGAAAUUACUGACAUUAUUCGUAUAGGAUGGAAUAAAAACAUGCUCCGGAUA